rnacentral:rRNA from 1 species
GAUGAACGCUGGCGGCGUGCUUAACACAUGCAAGUCGAACGAGAAAUGGAGACGGAACCCUUCGGGCGGAAGGCUUCAUUUCGAGUGGCGGACGGGUGAGUAACGCGUGGGUAACCUGCCUCAUACAGGGGGAUAACAGUUGGAAACGACUGUUAAUACCGCAUAAGACCACAGCACCGCAUGGUGCGGGGGUAAAAACUCCGGUGGUUUGAGAUGGACCCGCGUUCGAUUAGCCAGUUGGCGGGGUAACGGCCCACCAAAGCGACGAUCGAUAGCCGAUCUGAGAGGAUGACCGGCCACAUUGGGACUGAGACACGGCCCAAACUCCUACGGGAGGCAGCAGUGGGGAAUAUUGCACAAUGGGGGAAACCCUGAUGCAGCGACGCCGCGUGAGUGAAGAAGUACUUCGGUAUGUAAAGCUCUAUCAGCAGGGAAGAAAAUGACGGUACCUGAGUAAGAAGCCCCGGCUAACUACGUG